AUCCUUGACAUCCUGCUGACGUAUCAGUAACGUGAUAUUUCCUACGGGACAGCAAAGACAGGUGGUGCAUGGUUGUCUCCAGCUCGUGUCGUGAGAUGUUGGGUUAAGUCCCGCAACGAGCGCAACCCCUGUUCUCAGUAGCCAGCAAUUAGGCUGGGCCCUCUGAGGAGACUGCCGGGGACAACCCGGAGGAAGGGGGGGACGACCUCAAAUCAUCAUGCCCCUUAUGGGCUGGGCUACCCCCGUGCUACAAUGGCGUCCACAAAGUGAAACGAACCUGUGAAGGGGAGCAAACCCCAAAAAAAACGUUCCAGUUCGGAUUGUAAUCUGCAACUCGAUUACAUGAAGCUGGAAUCGCUAGUAAUCGCAAAUCAAAAUGUUGCGGUGAAUACGUUCCCGGGUCUUGUACCCCCCCGAAA
rnacentral:rRNA from 1 species